GUGUAGCGGAAGCACCUGGAGUUUUGAUCUCUUGAGCAUGGGUUCGAGCCCCUUCUUUCUAAGGAAUUGGG
rnacentral:tRNA from 1 species